UAUCUCUGUAGAGUCUGCAUAUCAAUAAGCGGAGGAAAAGAAACUAACAAGGAUUCCCUUAGUAACGGCGAGUGAAGCGGGAAGAGCUCAAAUUUGAAAUCUUCAAGGUUUUACCUUGACGAAUUGUAGUUUAAAGAAGUGGUUUCUGUUGAAGUUUCGGUAAAAGUUCUUUGGAAUAGGACAUCAUAGAGGGUGAGAAUCCCGUAUUUGACCGUUAUUUUCAGCUGUGUGAUACACUUUCAAAGAGUCGGAUUGUUUGGGAAUGCAGUCCAGAAUGGGUGGUAAAUUUCAUCUAAAGCCAAAUAUUGGCGAGAGACCGAUAGCGAACAAGUACCGUGAGGGAAAGAUGAAAAGAACUUUGAAAAGAGAGUUAAACAGUACGUGAAAUUGUCAAAAGGGAAGCGUUUGACACCAGUGUUGUUUUCUCGAAAAUCAAUUAAAAAUGGCUUGAUUUUGUGUUGUAUUGACCUUAAAAGCUUUCUUCACUUUUUUCAUGUCUUUUUUAAUGCACUUUUCGUUUAACAAGUCAACAUCAGUUUCUUUUGUUGUAAAAAGGUCAUUGGAAGGUGGCUUUCUUUUCGGAGAAAGUGUUUAUAGCCUUUGACUUCUGCAAUCGGAGAGACUGAGGUCUGCAGCGUAGAUCCUUCUGGAUUAGAUUCAUUUGUGCUAAGUUACAACCGUUUAUAGACAACUUGUUGACUAUAUUCGAUCCUGUUAGCUUACUCGCUUAUGUAAUUUUACCUACGCUUAGGAUGUUGAAGAUGUAGCACAUCA
rnacentral:rRNA from 1 species